UUUUUUGCGCCUGCGCAUAAAUCUGAGAAACGUGAGUUUUGUCUUCAUUGUUUAUCUAGACAUAGGAUAGGUUGUGUGAAAAUAUUACUGAUGUUUAACGUUAAAAAUGGACCAAAAGAUUAAUGCUAAACAACAUUUGACAUGUUUGAACGAACAUAAAUAGAUUAUUUACUAGGUUUUUUAGCUUUUCGGCGUGAUUUUACAGUCCCCCCACCACGUUUUGUGGGAGCAUAAAGAACGCUAAGUACUUGGUGUUAUUUGGACAUAAAUUAUGAACUUUGUCAAAAGAAACCACAUUUGUUCCGGACCUGGGAUGCCUUCCGGACCUGGGAUGCCUGCCUUCUGAUGGAGAUAAUCAAAGGGAAACUGUGUUUUUCAGUUGGUCGGACGGCGGUCAGUUCAAAGAGGAGCGUCACAGAUGACACAACAGUUGUAAGCUUGAUUACCAACAACGACGAGACAGGGAGGAGGUGAGGGCUCUGGGAGUGCGGUGUCAGGAAAAUAACCUCUCACUAAAUGUCAACAAAAAAAAGGAGAUGAUCGUGAACUUCAGGAAACAGCAGAGUGAACCCCCCAUCCACAUCGACGGGACAACAGUGGAGAAGGUGGAAAGUUUUAAGUUCCUUGGCGUACAUAUCACUGACAAAAUGAAAUGGUCCACCCACACAGACAGUGUGGUGAAGAAGGCACAGCAGCGCCUCUUCAACCUCAGGAGGCUGAAGAAAUGUGGCUUGUCACCUAAACCCUCACAAACUUU
rnacentral:lncRNA from 1 species